rnacentral:rRNA from 1 species
ACUAAGCCAUGCGAGUCGAGAGGGUUCGGCCCUCGGCUGACGGCUCAGUAACACGUGGAUAAUCUACCCUAAGGUGGAGGAUAAUCUCGGGAAACUGAGAAUAAUACUCCAUAAGUCUAGGAUACUGGAGUGUACUUAGGCUGAAAACUUCGGUGCCCUAGGAUGAGUCUGCGGACUAUCAGGUUGUAGUCAGGGUAAAGACCUGACUAGCCUACGACGGAUAUGGGUUGUGAGAGCAAUAACCCGGAGAUGAUAUCUGAGACACGAUAUCAGGCCCUACGGGGCGCAGCAGGCGCGAAAACUUCACACUGCGCGAAAGCGCGAUGAGGGAAUCCCAAGUGCUUGCACGUAAGUGUAAGCUGUUUCUAUGUCUAAAAGCAUAGAGAGUAAGAGCUGGGUAAGACGGGUGCCAGCCGCCGCGGUAAUACCUGCAGCUCAAGUGGUGGCCGUUAUUAUUGGGCCUAAAACGUCCGUAGCCGGUUUAUUAAAUGCCUGGGUAAAUCGGGCCGCUUAACGGUUCGAAUUCCGGGUAGACUGAUAGACUUGGGACCGGGAGAGGCUAGAGGUACUCCUGGGGUAGAGGUGAAUUCUGUAAUCUAGGGGGACACCAGUGGCGAAGCGUCUAGCUA